rnacentral:rRNA from 1 species
AGCAGUAGCCGCGGUAAUACGAAGGGUGCAAGCGUUAAUCGGAAUUACUGGGCGUAAAGCGUGCGUAGGCGGUUUGUUAAGUCUGCUGUGAAAUCCCCGGGCUCAACCUGGGAAUGGCAGUGGAUACUGGCAAGCUAGAGUGUGUCAGAGGAUAGUGGAAUUCCCGGUGUAGCGGUGAAAUGCGUAGAGAUCGGGAGGAACAUCAGUGGCGAAGGCGGCCAUCUGGGACAACACUGACGCUGAGGCACGAAAGCGUGGGGAGCAAACAGGAUUAGAUACCCCAGUAGUCCCUGUCUCUUAUAC